rnacentral:rRNA from 1 species
UACGUAGGAUGCGAGCGUUGUCCGGAAUUAUUGGGCGUAAAGAGAACGUAGGCGGUUUGUCAAGUUUGAUCUUAAAGACCGGGGCUUAACUCCGGGAGUGGAUCGAAAACUGGCAGACUAGAGGACGUCAGAGGAAAGUGGAAUUCCCAGUGUAGCGGUGAAAUGCGUAGAUAUUGGGAGGAACACCAGUGGCGAAAGCGACUUUCUGGGACGUUCCUGACGCUGAGGUUCGAAAGCUCGGGGAGCAAACAGG